rnacentral:rRNA from 1 species
GCUUAGCCCUAAACUAAAAUAGCUCACCACAACAAAGCUAUUCGCCAGAGUACUACUAGCAACAGCCUAAAAC